CUGUGGGCACCAGGCAUGCACAUGGUACACAGAUAUACAUGUAAACAAAACACUCAUACACAGAAAUAAAAUUAAUUAAAAAGAGAAAUAUCCCAUUAGACCCAAAGACAUAGGCAUAACAACCAAGAUUCCUGAAUCCAACCACAAGUUCCUAAGGCCAGAAGUGCAUUGGCUAAGUAGAAAAAAUUUUUUUAAAAAUUGCAGUGCUAUUUUUAAUGUUUUGUUGGAAUCUGCUUUGAUCCCAUUACAGCUUAAGUGAAAUGCAUUAAGCCUGAGUCUGCUGCUAUUCUGCUCAAAUUAUACCUUAAAUCCCUGAGUAUGUGAAUUCUGAAAAUAUGUUGGGAAGGUGAACCUGGGACAAGGGAAUCCUGAAGACAUGUUUUCCAUGCCUGCAACCUUGAAUGGGAAUCACGAUAAGACCUCUCAGUGAGAAUGGAGAGUUUGAGCGUCAGAGUACAUGGAAGACUACGGUAGCAUUUCUUACCUUACUGAACUGCCCAGCCACAUACUUCAGGAUAUUGGGAGGCGCAUCGUAGAGAAAGGGUUCGAGGGCCGGGAGGACAUAAGAUUGAGGAGGAGGGGAUGAAGAGAGAGAGGAAGAGCAGAUGACUCUCGCACCUCGUCCCAGGCUCCACAUUACUGGCCCCAGCCAAGAAUACUCAGAUGAGACCGGGAGCAACAUGUGCUUCAGAGACAGGUAAGGACCACCGGGAAAAUCUCCGCUUCAACGACCAUCUCUGCCAGGUCCACAGAGUGCUUUGCAAUGUGGCUGAGAGCUGAAAGGACCUGGUGCUGAUAAGCAGAAACACAGGGUUGAGGAUCAUCUGGGCUAAGUGAGCAAUAGCUCCGACAUCCACCACCGUCUGUGCUAACUCUGGAGAAUGCUUUGAAAUGUCACUGAGGGCCGAGGCAGCAAUCCUUUUCAAAGCAAUUUCUGGCUCCUGGAUACAGAGCACUAAAAGAGGAACGGCUCCCGCAUCCACCACAGCUUGUGACAGUUCUGUGGGUCCAAGAAAAGUAAUUAAAGAAUGAAAGACGUUGGAGCAGACCCUUAUAGUACACAUGCAGUAAAUGCCAUUUGAGAAGCAGGAAGCUCUGUCCAGUAACACAUUCUACUCCUGAUGCAUGUGUGGUCCCAUGGAGUCACACACACCAUUUCUCCAAUUUCUUCCUCCCUCCCAAAUUACAUCUGUAUUUCCCCAUAUUUCUAUUGCCUUAGAUAUAAAUAAAUGUCUUAAUUGUCGAGCUAAAAUAGCUAUUUACCAUGUCACUUUAGUCUUUAAUUUGAAGAAAAUACUUAAUUUUUC